AGAUCAUCACCCUACAGUCUGACUACUUAAAGGAACACUAUAGGCACCCAGACAACUUCAGCUCAAUGAAGUGGUCUGGGUGCCAGGUCCCCCUAGUUUUAAUCCUGCAGCUGAAAACAUAGCAGUUUCACAGAAACUGCUAUGUUUACAUUGAGGGUUAAUCUAGUCUCUAGUGGCUGUCUCUAUGACAGUCACCAGAGGACGCUUCCGCCAUCCUCAAUGCAAAAAUCGCAUUGAAUGCACUCUGGACGUCCA